CCCGGUGGCCACGGAGGGGAGGCAACACCCGUUCCCAUCCCGAACACGGAAGUGAAGGGCCCCAUCGCCGAGGGUACUGCAGGACGCGCCUGUGGGAGAGUAGGACGCCGCCGGGG
rnacentral:rRNA from 1 species